rnacentral:tRNA from 1 species
UCGGGGGUCGUCCAAUGGCAGGACAUCUGGUUUUGGUCCAGAGAAUGGGGGUUCGACUCCUCCCCCCCGAGCCA